rnacentral:lncRNA from 1 species
UAAAAAAAUAUAUACACAUAUGCACAUACACAAUUGUGGCAACCUCUUCCAGGCACAUAAUCACAUAGGAAACCGAUUCCAGACCAUCAUCACACCUCCAUCACACAGACAGCAAAGAACUGGUGGGAUCACAAACCUGCAAAAGUAUUGGAAAAUGAGCACGCAAAGAUACUGUGGGACUUCCGAAUCCAGACUGACAAAGUUCUAGAACACAACACACCAGACAUCACAGUUGUGGAAAAGAAAAAGGUUUGGAUCAUUGAUGUCGCCAUCCCAGGUGACAGUCGCAUUGACGAAAAAUAACAGGAAAAACUCAGCCGCUAUCAGGACCUCAAGAUUGAACUUCAAAGACUCUGGCAGAAACCAGUGCAGGUGGUCCCGGUGGUGAUGGGCACACUGGGUGCCGUGCCAAAAGAUCUCAGCCGGCAUUUGGAAACAAUAGACAUUGACAAAAUUACGAUUUGCCAACUGCAAAAGGCCACCCUACUGGGAUCUGAACACAUCAUCUGAAAAUACAUCACACAGUCCUAGACACUUGGGAAGUGUUCGACUUGUGAUUUUGUGAUAUGAAAUCCAGCAUAUCUAUCUUGUUUGCUGUGUCAUCAUAAUAAUAAUAAUAAUAAUAAUAAUAAUAAUAAUAAUAAUAAUAAUAAUAAUAAUAAUUCGUUUGAAUGAAAUAAUAAAUAAGCUGCUGCUGCUUUCCCUCCUCCUCCUCCUCCUCUUUCACCCAGUUUAGGCACAUAACCAGAUGCCUGGGAUGUCAAAGAAAGCAACUUUGAAAAUGUGUAGGACCUUUUUAUAUUUGACAACAUGAAAAAGAAGCUGUGGUUGAGGUAGUUCUGUGCCCAGUGCAAUGACGGAAAACCCCAACAAACAAUCCAGUUCCAUGUAGGCAUUUCUUCUGACCUGCUAGUAGAGCUGUGAAAUGUGCAUAGGUGACACAGGUAGUGUUUACUAUGGUUACACAGUAUAUGAGAUUUGUCAUCAUUGUUGCUGGCAAUU